GACGAACGCUGGCGGCGUGCUUAACACAUGCAAGUCGAGCGGUAAGGCUCCUUUGGGGGUACACGAGCGGCGAACGGGUGAGUAACACGUGAGUAAUCUGCCCUUCACUUCGGGAUAAGCACUCGAAAGGGUGUCUAAUACUGGAUACGACACGCUCACGCAUGUGAUGUGUGUGGAAACUUUUGUGGGUGGGGGAUGUGCUCGCGGCCUAUCAGCUUGUUGGUGGGGUAAUGGCCUACCAAGGCUUCGACGGGUAGCCGGCCUGAGAGGGUGACCGGUCACACUGGGACUGAGACACGGCCCAGACUCCUACGGGAGGCAGCAGUGGGGAAUAUUGGACAAUGGGCGGAAGCCUGAUCCAGCAACGCCGCGUGAGGGAUGACGGCCUUCGGGUUGUAAACCUCUUUCACCAGUGACGAAGCCUCAUGUUGAGUGGGGUGACGGUAGGUGGGGAAGAAGCACCGGCCAACUACGUGCCAGCAGCCGCAGUAAAAC
rnacentral:rRNA from 1 species